rfam:Oryza barthii chromosome 8, whole genome shotgun sequence.
AAUAAAUGCAGUUUUGCACUAUUCAUGUUCAACGUUUGACCGUCCGUCUUAUUUGAAAAUUUUUUAUGAUUAGUAUUUUUAUUGCUAUUAGAUGAUAAAACAUGAAUAGUACUUUAUGUGUAACUAAAUGUUUUUAAUUUUUUCACAAAUUUUUCAAAUAAGAUGGACGGUCAAACGUUGAACGUGAAUAGUGCAAAACUGCACUUAUU